rnacentral:rRNA from 1 species
UACAGAGGUCCCAAGCGUUGUUCGGAUUCACUGGGCGUAAAGGGUGCGUAGGUGGUGGGGUAAGUUUGUGGUGAAAGCUCCGGGCUCAACCCGGAAAAGGCCAUGAAUACUAUCUCGCUAGAGGGUUGGAGGGGGGAUUGGAAUUCUCGGUGUAGCAGUGAAAUGCGUAGAUAUCGAGAGGAACACCAGUGGCGAAGGCGAAUCCCUGGACAACAUCUGACACUGAGGCACGAAAGCUAGGGGAGCAAACGGG